rnacentral:lncRNA from 1 species
CCGGGGGAAGCGGGCGGGCCGGGGCUCCCCGUUGCCGGGCAACGCGAGCCCCAGCAGGGGCAGCGGCACCCGAGCCAGGCCGCGCUGGGCUGCUAGAGCACCCGGGGUUUGCACGGGGAAUGCCCUUCCACCUGCAUCCUCCCUCAGAGCCGCAUAUUUUAGGUUCACAAAGGAGGCAGGAAACUACAGCAGAAGAAACCGAUUUUCCAGAUAGGAACAACAGGAGCAAACUGAAGUGGUUACAGCACAAGUUUGAGGACUUUCCUCUUGGUCGUGAAAGCUCUAUUUAUAAGGCAGUUUUGUCAACCAAAAAGAAAGAAAAAAAUGCAUGA